CGGCGCCCGCCGCCCCCCAGCAGCCACCCGCGGCGGGCCGGCGCCGGGCAGUCGGUCGGGCGGCCCCGGGCGCGGGGCCCCGGCACUCACUCGGGAAGUUUUGUCAUCUAGCUUCAGAGUCCUUUGCUUCCAGAGCUAAUGAAGUGGGAAAGAAGGAAGAAAAGGCAGCGAAAGCAGAUACAGUCACUUCUUGAAGCUCAUCACCAAAGAUGCGAAAUAUCCUGCAGGAAUCAAGGAGGGAAAUGGUGGACUUAAGAAAACGUUGCCAAAAUAAGCUGGGAACUGAGUGUCCCCCUUAAGGAGAGAGGAACUAAGAACAUAGACCACUUCUCUCUGUAAAAUGCCAAGCUGUGGUUGGAUUUCUAAGCUGGGAGCAGGAAUUACCCUGAGACAUACAUUCUAGAGAUUACCAGCCCCGGUAGCUGACCUCCAACUACUCAACCACUGCCAUGCUCCAGCUGCUUUCCACAUGCUCCGGCCGAGCCUGAAGCAUGAGUGAAGUCCCACGGAACCCAGCCCGCCACAGCCUUGUGACCCAAGGCUCUGGAAUGGAUCAGCCCUCCUACUCACUCCCUCCUGCGCACACUGCGUCUCCAUGGAAACAGCUUGUCAGGCCUUGGCUGCAGGUUCUGAAGACCUCUCAUCUGCAGCCUCGGUCCCACACAGAUUCAGUCGUAAUCAGUCAGGUUUCUUAGUCGGAGCUGUGUUAGGACUCUCAGACCCUCUAGCCUGUGGGUUUGGGAAUUGUUCGUAAGCCUCCUUUGCUGUGUACCUGGAGAGGCCCUGAGUUGCUGUGGCCUUCUGCUGUUGCUAUUCAGGUCAACAGCAGGAUUUCUGCACUGCGUUCCACUUCAACCCGAAUCCAUCAUCUUCCAGCAAGCUUCUCCUCCCAUCCUCUCCUCCCACCACCAGAGCCUUCUGAUCUCUUCAACCUGUGGCUCAUCACCAGAGACAAUUUGUGCAGUCACUUUUAUGUCUCUCGAGUUCAU